UACGUAGGUGGCAAGCGUUGUCCGGAUUUACUGGGCGUAAAGAGCGCGCAGGCGGUCGUUCAAGUCGCGUGUGAAAGCCCCCGGCUCAACUGGGGAGGGUCACGCGAUACUGAUCGACUCGAAGGCAGGAGAGGGAAGUGGAAUUCCCGGUGUAGUGGUGAAAUGCGUAGAUAUCGGGAGGAACACCAGUGGCGAAGGCGGCUACCUGGACUGCACCUGACGCUGAAACGCGAAAGCUAGGGGAGCGAACGGG
rnacentral:rRNA from 1 species